GCCCGUCUAGCUCACCGGUAGAGCGCCUCACUAGUAGGCCCCUCAGUAAUACGAGAAGUUCUCUGCUGCAAUGAGGAGGCAACAGGUUCGACUCCUGUGAUGGGCA